CGCCCGGGGGGCGCGCCCCGGGCGGGGCGGGGGCACGGGGGGAACGCGAAGAACCUUACCUGGCCUUGACAUCCAGAGAACUUACCAGAGAUGGAUUGGUGCCUUCGGGAACUGUGAGACAGGUGCUGCAUGGCUGUCGUCAGCUCGUGUUGUGAAAUGUUGGGUUAAGUCCCGCAACGAGCGCAACCCUUAUCCUUUGUUGCCAGCGGUUCGGCCGGGAACUCAAAGGAGACUGCCAGUGAUAAACUGGAGGAAGGUGGGGAUGACGUCAAGUCAUCAUGGCCCUUACGACCAGGGCUACACACGUGCUACAAUGGCAUAUACAAAGAGAAGCGACCUCGCGAGAGCAAGCGGACCUCAUAAAGUAUGUCGUAGUCCGGAUUGGAGUCUGCAACUCGACUCCAUGAAGUCGGAAUCGCUAGUAAUCGUAGAUCAGAAUGCUACGGUGAAUACGUUCCCGGGU
rnacentral:rRNA from 1 species